rnacentral:rRNA from 1 species
GAUGAACGCUAGCGGCAGGCUUAACACAUGCAAGUCGAGGGGCAGCAUAAUGGAUAGCAAUAUCUAUGGUGGCGACCGGCGCACGGGUGCGUAACGCGUAUGCAACCUACCUUUAACAGGGGGAUAACACUGAGAAAUUGGUACUAAUACCCCAUAAUAUCAUAGAAGGCAUCUUUUAUGGUUGAAAAUUCCGAUGGUUAGAGAUGGGCAUGCGUUGUAUUAGCUAGUUGGUGGGGUAACGGCUCACCAAGGCGACGAUACAUAGGGGGACUGAGAGGUUAACCCCCCACACUGGUACUGAGACACGGACCAGACUCCUACGGGAGGCAGCAGUGAGGAAUAUUGGUCAAUGGACGCAAGUCUGAACCAGCCAUGCCGCGUGCAGGAGGACGGCUCUAUGAGUUGUAAACUGCUUUUGUACGAGGGUAAACGCAGAUACGUGUAUCUGUCUGAAAGUAUCGUACGAAUAAGGAUCGGCUAACUCCGUG